rnacentral:rRNA from 1 species
UACGUAGGUGGCAAGCGUUUGUCCGGAUUUAUUGGGUUUAAAGGGUGCGUAGGCGGGUAUUUAAGUCAGAGGUGAAAGACGGCCGCUCAACGGUCGCAGUGCCUUUGAUACUGGAUAUCUUGAGUGCAGACGAGGUCUGUGGAAUGGAUGGUGUAGCGGUGAAAUGCUUAGAUACCAUCCAGAACACCAAUUGCGAAGGCAGCAGACUAGGGUGCAACUGACGCUGAGGCACGAAAGUGCGGGGAUCAAACAGG